CGGUAAUACGUAGGUGGCAAGCGUUGUCCGGAUUUACUGGGCGUAAAGAGCGUGCAGGCGGUGGAUUAAGUCGAAUGUGAAAGCCCCUGGCUCAACUGGGGAGGGUCAUUCGAUACUGGUUGACUUGAAGGCAGGAGAGGGUAGUGGAAUUCCCGGUGUAGUGGUGAGAUGCGUAGAUAUCGGGAGGAACACCUGUGGCGAAGGCGGCUUUCUGGCCCAAUACUGACACUCAGGUGCGAAAGCGUGGGGAGCAAACAGGAUUAGAUACCCUGGUAGUCCACGCCCUAAACGAUGACAACUAGAUGUCGGGAGGGUCUGCCUCUCGGUGUCGCAGCUAACGCGUUAAGUUGUCUACCUGGGGAGUACGGCCGCAAGGUUGAA
rnacentral:rRNA from 1 species